GACGAACGCUGGCGGCGUGCUUAACACAUGCAAGUCGAACGGAAAGGCCCUGCUUUUGUGGGGUGCUCGAGUGGCGAACGGGUGAGUAACACGUGAGUAACCUGCCCUUUACUUUGGGAUAACUUCAUUAAACUGGGGCUAAUACCGGAUAUGAGCUCCUUCUGCAUGGUGGGUGUUGUAAAGUUUCGGCGGUUGGGGAUGGACUCGCGGCUUAUCAGCUUGUUGGUGGGGUAGUGGCUUACCAAGGCUUUGACGGGUAGCCGGCCUGAGAGGGUGACCGGCCACAUUGGGACUGAGAUACGGCCCAGACUCAUACGGGAGGAAGCAGUGGGGAUUAUAGCAAAAUGGGCGGAAGCAGGAAGCAGGAACGCCGCGUGGGGGAUGACGGCCUUCGGGUUGGAAACCGCUUUAGCCUGUGAAGAAGAGUGAGUGACGGUAAUGGGUAAAGAAGCAACGGCUAACUACGUG
rnacentral:rRNA from 1 species